rnacentral:rRNA from 1 species
GACGAACGCUGGCGGCGUGCCUAAUACAUGCAAGUAGAACGCACAGUUUAUACCGUAGCUUGCUCCACCAUAGACUGUGAGUUGCGAACGGGUGAGUAACGCGUAGGUAACCUGCCUGGUAGCGGGGGAUAACUAUUGGAAACGAUAGCUAAUACCGCAUAAUAUUAAUUAUUGCAUGAUAAUUAAUUGAAAGGUGCAAUUGCACCACUACCAGAUGGACCUGCGUUGUAUUAGCUAGUAGGUGAGGUAACGGCUCACCUAGGCGACGAUACAUAGCCGACCUGAGAGGGUGAUCGGCCACACUGGGACUGAGACACGGCCCAGACUCCUACGGGAGGCAGCAGUAGGGAAUCGUCGGCAAUGGACGAAAGUCUGACCGAGCAACGCCGCGUGAGUGAAGAAGGUUUUCGGAUCGUAAAGCUCUGUUGUAAGAGAAGAACGGGUGUGAGAGUGGAAAGUUCACACUGUGACGGUAACUUACCAGAAAGGGACGGCUAACUACGUG